rnacentral:rRNA from 1 species
GUGAGGAAUAUUGGACAAUGGGCGCAAGCCUGAUCCAGCGACGCCGCGUGAGUGAUGAAGGCCUUUGGGUCGUAAAGCUCUGUCAGCAGGGAAGAACGGCCGUGUGGUUAAUACCCAUGCGGAUUGACGGUACCUGCAGAGGAAGCACCGGCUAACUCCGUGCCAGCAGCCGCGGUAAUACGGAGGGUGCGAGCGUUAAUCGGAAUUACUGGGCGUAAAGGGCGCGUAGGCGGCUGAUCAAGUCAGGUGUGAAAGCCCACGGCUUAACCGUGUGAAGUGCAUCUGAAACUGGUCGGCUUGAGUAUCGGAGAGGAAAGUGGAAUUCCCGGUGUAGAGGUGAAAUUCGUAGAUAUCGGGAGGAAUACCGGUGGCGAAGGCGACUUUCUGGACGAAUACUGACGCUGAGGCGCGAAAGCGUGGGGAGCAAACAGGAUUAGAAACCCUGGUAGUCC